rnacentral:lncRNA from 1 species
AUGCAACUCUUGAAAGCUAAAUUUCCCACCAAACCAAAGAUAAUUAACAGAAGCUAGUGCAGAGAAAUUAAGGAACAAAUGGCAAAGAAUAUGGGAGUGAAGAUGCAUUUUCGGAAGCACCAUGUAUGUAUUCUAGAUGCUUGAUUCUUGGUGCUUAACUCUAGACACUUGAUUCUUAAUACUAUGAAACUAGAUUCUUGAAUCUUGACACUUGAUUUUGAUACUUGAUUCUUGAGGCUUGAUUCUUGAUACUUGAUACUUGGAAACUAGAUUCUUGACUCUUGAUACUUGAUACUUGGUGCCUGACUCUUGAGACUCGUGCAACUUUAGACUUGGUUGAACGAGAGACUGGAGACUUGUCACUGGCGGAAACUAUGAAACUUGGAAACUUUGUGUUAUAAUCUAGUUAUGUGAUACUAUUACACAACAAUACGCAACGCAACGCUUAAUCUAACUCGCAAAACGAACCAAAGACGGAAAGUGGAACGGAUGGGAUGGGAUUGACCGAAUGGUAAUCCGAUCGGAUGACCAUCUGAUCGGAUAACCAUCCGAUCGGAGGGCCACUAGAUCGAAAUUCCAUCCGAUCCACUGCCACACCGCCUUAUCUCCACUCUUGCACUAUAAAUAGGACAUGUCACAUCAUUCUUCACUGAUGUGACAGCCUCCUUCGACCAGACGCACACUCUCUCACUUUUCUUUCAUUUCUCGGUGAUUUCGGUAUGUUUUCCACUAGAUUCUUGUACAUCUUUGAUCUAUACACUAUCCUCUACAUGAUUCUUCUUUGAAAUAACACUUUUCACCGUGAAAUCUCUAAGAUUUCAGCUCUUGAGGGUGACUUCAUCAUGCGGUUUGUACAAACAAUGGUGUGAUGUCAUUCCAGUCAAAGAUCUAGCUCAGAUCUAAGGGAUUUCAUGUGUUAUUACACCAAAUCUUUGCUAAAAUCUAGACUUUUCUCAGCUACAACUCAUGUUUCCUUCAUCUUUUCUUAAACUUUUACUUAAAACGGUGGAAUCCGGAUCUAAACGGACUGUAGACUUGAUGAUUAGUCUGGAGACGGCUUAGAAAUGGAUCAUCGCCGGAAAAGAUGGCUGGAGUACGGGUUCCGACAUGAACACCGUCAAGAACAGACACCCGAACGAACAGGGUGAUUCCCAUCCGAUCAGGCAGGCUGAGCUUUGACGUGUUUACAGUUGUCUCAAUACGUACCAUGUCGUCACCGUUAAACCAGAAACUUAGAAACUUUGCAAGGUUGCAAAAGAAACAAGGUCACUGCGAACGAAUGGCGAUCCAAUUGGACUGUCAUCCGAUCGAAGUGGUAAUGUGACUUACAACCUUCAACACUUGAACUAGUUUUGAAUCAGAAACUUGAAGUUUGAAACUUGCACUCGAAGGGUCAUUCGACCGAACGACCAUCCGAUCAGAUGACCAUCCGAUCGAAAGACCUGGUUUGAACACUUAGAAUAAAAGUUGAACUUUUGGAACUCAAUGAUUGGAUCGAAUGACCAUCCGUCCCAACCACAUGUGUCAUUCGACUGGAUGACCAUCCGUUCGGAUGGCCAUCCAAUCAGAUGACUGAUCCGACACUUUGCAAAUCUCGUUACUCUGUCCGACACUUAUCUAUUGUACUCUAAAUCAGGCUAAUCCUAAGAGCUCCCUUUGAUCCAAUAAUAGUGUUACUGUUAAGCAAUCACUGUGAGUAUACUCGAUCCCUUUUUGUUUUAAACUUUGGGAUGCAACAUGUAUUCUAUGAAACUUGACACUUGAUACUUUUGAAUCUAAACUCUAUCCUCAGUGAAUGUGAAACUUGAUACUUAUGAAUUUUGAUUCUUGAUUCUUUAUGCUAUGUGAACGUUUAAUCCCUGUGUGUAGUUCCUCCUUAACAAUAGUAGCGCUAUAGGAAGAUGCACCUCCCUGUUAUUCUUGGGGGUAUUGUUAAAAGGAUUCUAGUUUUCCUUGAGUCUUGGGAAAACACCUAAAGCAACGGGACACUUGGGCUAUCAAUUUGGACUGCAAACACUAGCAUGAUUGAAACUAUUUUUAUCGUUUACAUGAUGGAUAUGAGUUCUUUUAAUCUAUUAUGCUAUAUAUUCAAACUUGUAUACUCGCCAGUACGUUUUGUACUGACUUUAUUUUAAUACAUGUUGUAGGCUGAUAGGAUGCUAUGAGUCAAGAAACAUGCUAGGAUGCUGCUUAGAAACACAUCAUAGCUAAACUAUAGUCUUUUGAACAGUAGUUGAAAUGGUUGUAUUUGAUAUUCUACGGUUGUGACUUUUGAUGUUUAGACAAUGUUUGAAUCUACUUAAUU